AAAACCCUGAAAAACAAAAAUAGCUUUUUCAUCUGCAUCAAUGAUUUGCUUGUUUAAAAUUCAAAAGCUUUUCAUUAUCCAGAAUCAGUAUGCAGGGAUUUCUAAACCCAUUGAACAUAAUGAUCCAACGCCAUCUCCCAAUCUUGAAGUCCUUGUACCUGAGGCAGAGGAAGAUGAUGUUGAAAGGGAUUCCUGACGAGAUUACCCACCUUCUCGAG
rnacentral:lncRNA from 1 species